GAUGAACGCUGGCGGCGUGCCUAAUACAUGCAAGUCGAGCGAAUGGAUUGAGAGCUUGCUCUUAUGAAGUUAGCGGCGGACGGGUGAGUAACACGUGGGUAACCUGCCCAUAAGACUGGGAUAACUCCGGGAAACCGGGGCUAAUACCGGAUAACAUUUUGAACCGCAUGGUUCGAAAUUGAAAGGCGGCUUCGGCUGUCACUUAUGGAUGUACCCGCGUCGCAUUAGCUAGUUGGUGAGGUAACGGCUCACCAAGGCAACGAUGCGUAGCCGACCUGAGAGGGUGAUCGGCCACACUGGGACUGAGACACGGCCCAGACUCCUACGGGAGGCAGCAGUAGGGAAUCUUCCGCAAUGGACGAAAGUCUGACGGAGCAACGCCGCGUGAGUGAUGAAGGCUUUCGGGUCGUAAAACUCUGUUGUUAGGGAAGAACAAGUGCUAGUUGAAUAAGCUGACACCUUGACGGUACCUAACCAGAAAGCAACGGCUAACUACGUGCCAGCCGCCGCAGUAA
rnacentral:rRNA from 1 species